GUAUUAGUUAUAAAUUGACUGUCAAACCCACAAGCGUUGAUGUGCAGCCAGAGCUGCAUCGCACGGCGAAGCUUCGCCAGCGCUGAUAUGAUAAACUACCUCGCGGUAGUUCAUCGGAUUUGUAAUGAUCCUUCCGCAGGUUCACCUACGGAAA
rnacentral:misc_RNA from 1 species